rnacentral:rRNA from 1 species
UAAAAACCCCGACUUCGGAAGGAGUGUAUUUAUUAGAUACAAAACCAAUGCCCUUCGGGGCUCUUUGGUGAUUCAUGAUAACUAUACGAAUCGCACGGCCUUGCGCCGGCGAUGGUUCAUUCAAAUUUCUUCCCUAUCAACUUUCGAUGUUUGGGUAUUGGCCAAACAUGGUUGCAACGGGUAACGGAGGGUUAGGGCUCGACCCCGGAGAAGGAGCCUGAGAAACGGCUACUACAUCCAAGGAAGGCAGCAGGCGCGCAAAUUACCCAAUCCCGACUCGGGGAGGUAGUGACAAUAAAUACUGAUACAGGGCCCUUUCGGGCCUUGUAAUUGGAAUGAGUACAAUUUAAAUCCCUUAACGAGGAACAAUUGGAGGGCAAGUCUGGUGCCAGCAGCCGCGGUAAUUCCAGCUCCAAUAGCGUAUAUUAAAGUUGUUGUGGUUAAAGAGCUCGUAGUUGAACCUUGGGCCUGGCUGGCCGGUCCGCCUCACCGCGUGCACUGGUCCGGCCGGGCCUUUCCCUCUGUGGAACCCCAUACCCUUCACUGGGCGUGGCGGGGAAACAGGACAUUUACUUU